GAUGAACGCUGGCGGCGUGCUUAACACAUGCAAGUCGAACGGAAAGGCCCAAGCUUGCUUGGGUACUCGAGUGGCGAACGGGUGAGUAACACGUGGGUGAUCUGCCCUGCACUUCGGGAUAAGCCUGGGAAACUGGGUCUAAUACCGGCUAGGACCACUUCUUGGCUGUUGUGGUGGACAGUUUUUUCGGUGUGGGAUGGGCUCGCGGCCUAUCAGCUUGUUGGUGGGGUAAUGGCCUACCAAGGCGUCGACGGGUAGCCGGCCUGAGAGGGUGUACGGCCACAUUGGGACUGAGAGACGGCCCAGGCGCCGACGGGAGGCAGCAGGGGGGAAGAUUGCACAAUGGGCGCAAGCCUGAUGCAGCGACGCCGCGUGGGGGAUGACGGCCUUCGGGUUGUAAACGCCGUUCGCUAGGGACGAAGCGUUUUGUGACGGUACCUGGAGAAGAAGCACCGGCUAACUACGUG
rnacentral:rRNA from 1 species